UCUACUCACAAAUCCAUACACACACACACAAAGAUAUAUAUAUAUAUAUAUAUACGUACAGACUGACUCACAGAUAGACAUAUAUUUAUAUAUAUAUAUAUAUAUAUAUAUAUCGAUUGAUAGAUAGAUGUGCACACUAGAAUGGUUACCAAGAGGCUGCGAACGUGCUUCGGAGAGUCGGAAAACGGAGGGCUUGUGCAUCUCCAUAAUAACGCAAAGAGCACCUCCAAGUCGAUGCACUGGCUGCAAUUCUAAAUUAUAACCCUCACCCCCAAUUUUUUCACACUUUGAACGACUGAUAUCAGUGCGUGCACAAUAUGCAAAACACACAGAUUGCCGAACCCAGUUCUAACACACUCACUUUCGUUGUGCAGACGUGAAGACAGCCAGGCCUUGCCCUCGUGUGGGUGGGUCUAACCUUUGUGAAUAGAAAGCCAUUGUGGAAACUGCCUGCAUCGGUGUGCAGAUAUCACCACCGUCAAAUCAAUCCAGGAAUCAUCGUUAUCUGUCGGUAAAGGAUUUGACAAGGCGCUGUGGAAGCAGCAUCUUGCUGAGGUCGUGGAUAUGGUGGUGGAGGCUCACAGACCUUCAUCGGCCCUAAGAUUGUCCGCAACCACAAGUGAUAUUUUUCUCCACUGCGUUUCUUCCAAAUGGAAAUGAGAGGCUGAGAAUUGUGGCUAGCAAACCCGGAAAAAAUUGAUAACGAGGGGUGGUCGGCAGUUUCAGUGAGCGAGGAGACACAGCCACCGACGAAGCUGGUGGUAUCCUGUGAAGAGAUUGAUCACACCCUUUGGCAAUAAGCCAUGCAGUGAGUUGUCGCAGUUGGAUUCGAAGAGAGGGAAGGGCAAAUUCUUCACCGAUUUCACUGUGUGUGUUGCUUUCGGCGUUUGAGUUUGUCAAGCCUUUUAUAUCCUUGCGUAUCAUAACAGAUUUCAUUGAACAACGCGGAGAAAGCUCAUUGCAGACUGCGUCAAGCCUUUCGAACGGCAAUUACAACUUAUUCAUACCAGAAUAUAUAAUAUUUUUUUCCAUUACAUCAUAGGUGAAGAGUCACAUUUUUGCGUACAAGUUACUCCCCGUUGAAGUGUAGAAAUUGAACAUUCAACGUUAUAGCAGACAGCUCAAAAGAGCUUGUUUGCAUAGGCCAAAAGCUAUCCUUCCUUACGUAGUUUUGCAAAGGCACAGAUCGGCCUAGGUUGGAUAGGUUUUGGAACGAGAUGUUCAUUGUAAAGGCGGUUUUGUAUUAAUUUUU